UUUUGACCUCAAAUCAGGUAGGACUACCCGCUGAACU
rnacentral:rRNA from 1 species